CACGUAGGGCGCGAGCGUUGUCCGGAAUUAUUGGGCGUAAAGAGCUCGUAGGUGGUUUGUCGCGUUGUUCGUGAAAACCGGGGGCUUAACCCUCGGCGUGCGGGCGAUACGGGCAGACUGGAGUACUGCAGGGGAGACUGGAAUUCCUGGUGUAGCGGUGGAAUGCGCAGAUAUCAGGAGGAACACCGGUGGCGAAGGCGGGUCUCUGGGCAGUAACUGACGCUGAGGAGCGAAAGCGUGGGGAGCGAACAGG
rnacentral:rRNA from 1 species